rnacentral:misc_RNA from 1 species
GGAGAAUAGAUGAUGUAGAACAAGAACAAAGGGAUCAAGAGAAACCUCAAGAUUUAAAGGAAGAGAAACAAAUUCCCUGAACUUUAUUAAUUCACGAUUUUCAAUAAUAUCAUAAUAAUUAAAGCUUUUAAUAAUAAAAUACCAAGACACAAGUACUUAUAGACUAGCAAUCUUACUAGGAUUAGGGAACCCUAAAACUAAACCCCAA